AUUUCCCAGCCUUUGGCUAAGAUCAAGUACAUCAUCUUUUCUUAUCAGUUUAAUAUAUGAUACAUCUCAGCUUGAAGAUUUUGUAUUAAAUGGAUUUGGAGGGCAUGGGAAGGAGUAACUGCUUCCUCCACCCACUCUAU
rnacentral:snRNA from 1 species